CUCACCUGGAGGGUAUUUAAGGAGAAUAGGUGAGAGGAGAGGAGGCUUGAGAGACGUGACUGGCUUUGCGCACUGAGGGGAAAAUGAGGACGCUUUGUGUUGCUCGAGACCAUUAGGGUUUGUCUGGCAACGAAGAUAGUUAGAUAGACCAACUUGACUUAGAUAAUGGUGGGGAGGGUUUAGGAGCGCUGGCCAUAUGUCUCAGGAGCAAUUCUAAGAGAUGGCAUUGUGCAAAGAGGACUCAUCAUUAUUAACGUGGUGACCAGUUGCCGCAACUGUGAGAGUGGGAAUCAAGUGAAGAGCUCGUGCCUUUGUGGAACGGACCUACCUGGCACGACUGAUUCCUUUCCCUAGACCCCAGGAGGGGGUCUUGUUUUCUGGAAACGGGGAAGUGUUUUACAUUUUAUAUUCUUUUUGUGUUGUGUGUAUAUGGGAGUGCGUAUGUGGUAGUUUUAAGGUUUAUAUGAACAUGAUUACUCUGUGUCCGGAACUGGGAGGCGCUGGGUUCUUUUCAUCUGUUUAACUGAUUACUCGAUCACGAUUUCUAGUGUGCCGUGUGGGGGCUGGGAAUAACCACUAGAGUGCAGUGUAGUGCAGUGUUGAAGUCUCACUUGUGUAGUACCGAGUGUUCUAGUGAGGGUGUACAGAGGAAUGUUCAUUGAACUUAAUUAGAUGUGUCUUUGUAUAGGCCAAAUGGUUAUAUCUUUUUAUAUAUAAUUGUUAAUAAAGCGAUAUAUUUCUGUAAAGUCCUGGUGUUGUGAUGUACCCUCUGUCCUGCAUUAAUUUGAUUAAGCCUCGGUAAGAAAACAUAAAGAGAGGUUUAUUACAAUAGUAUGAAUGAGGGUAGUAUGAAUGGAAUUCGGACGUACUACAUCCGCCAUGUUGAUGUUGUCACGUGUCAUGCGUCUUCACAACAGCGCGAAAAUUUAAAGAGCCCACUUCACUGCGCGAACAUCGUUAAUGAUUUAAAUUCUUAACGCUUAACGAACCGCCUAUUUAAAGAAAGCAGCGUUAACAAGCUGAUGUACUACAAUGAGGUUAACAUAACUCCAUCUGAUCGGUAAUAUUAGAGAUCUUUUACACACAAUUCACACAAUCGUUUAAUCUGUUUGUUAAACCCUCAACAAGUCAGCCGUUUACUUGGAUGAUGUUAAACAAGUACAAGUUAACCACAAUGAACAACAAUGUUUUUCCCUGAGGUACUUUACACUUGAAGACAGCCGCGUCGCGGCUUUCCGCCAUUUUUCGAAUAUGACGCCGCCUCUCCCGCGGCCUCAUGGGAUAGUAAAGUGUCCAACACUUGACUUGAUCGACUUGAAACAUGACUUUUCCAAAACUUUCUGGCUUUAUUUAUUUUUCCAAAAGUUUACAGGCCUGGAAAUUGCCGUUUUAAAAUUCCAUGACUUUUCCAGGUUUUUCAUGACCGUAUAUGAACCCUGAAUGUGACGAUCGGGUGCGGUUAUCUAAAUCAAAAUCAGGCAAAAAUAUAGGUGCGGGUGGUUGGCCAUCUUUUCCAGGUACCGUUUUCUUGCGUCCGUUAGAAGUUUGUCUCUGUAUAGUACAUUUUGUUCUUUUAAUCGACUUUUCAACAUUGUUUUUCAUGUGGUUGUUUUAAGUCUCGCCCGAUGUGGCCUCACAAUAUGGCGGCGCCCUCUUGUUUACGUCCCAGAAUGCACUGCGCAGUGACGUCGGUUGCCAAGCUCUAUAGGCCUGUGUGCAUUUGUGAGUUUAAGCUGCGGAAUGACAGUCUCAAAAUAAUCCACAAAUACAAAACCACAUAUUCACAGACAUUCUUAAGGCUGAACACUAUUGCAAAGGACUUGCUAUUUGUUGUGUAUACUGUGAGCAAAGAAGCAAUGCACAUAUUGCCUUUGUCUGGAUUGCCCUGUGUGGAUCUUGCAUACAUUUGUGGAUUCGUGUGUGUAUGGAUCUCUCGCGCGCAUGUGUGGAUCGCUGUGUGUAUGGAUCUCUCGCGCGCGUGUGUGGAUUCGUGUGUGGAUCGCCAUAUGGAUCUCUGGCGCGUGCAUUUGUGGAUUCGUGUACCCGCAUGUGGAUCUCUCGCGCGCAUUGUGGAUUCGUGUGUGUAUGGAUCUCCCGCGCGCAUGUGUGGAUUCGUGUAUGCGCAUGUGGAUCUCUCGCGUGCAUUUGUAGGAGGUUUUGAUACGGUUUUCACUCCAUAAAGAGUAGUCCCAGACUAAAAUGCAUGUCUGGGCUGUUUUAACUGAAAGCAACUUGAACUGACUGAUCUUAAAAUAAUUGUUUUGUCUCAAGAUGCACAUCAGUAGUGUUUUUAACUAAGGCACGUUUAUAAAAGCUAUUCAAAUGUCCUAAUUGAACUAUGACCUAAUCCUGGCUUAAUCUAAACCCUGUCUGUGACCUACAUAAUAUAUAACAUAUUUGUGAUUUUGCUGUAAAAACACGUUUUAUAAUGCAUAACUAACAGGAGAGCUCCAUUAAGUACACAUACGUCUCAAAAGUGGAUUUACAUAAACCAUAUGCAUCUUAAAGAUGAUUACUAAAUGUCUAUUUAACAUCUGACAGGAUUAUCUUUGAUAAGUAUUGCAGAUGAGCACAUCUAGUAGACAUGAAACGGGCAUCUGAGUGAGAGACGUAUGUGUUAUUAUGUAGAAUUCACUGUUGUCAACACUGCUUUAGAUGAAUGUAAGUCAUGCAAACAAACAAAUCUACAUAAAGUAACUGAACAUAAGUUAUCUAUUUUAUUUAUCCAUUAGUAAUAUUGAUAAUUUAAGGAGCAUUUGUGUUGGAUAAAAAGGGAGUUACAUCAGCAACUACCUCAACAUGUAAAUGCAGUAUUGAGCAGAUAAUCAGAGCUGACUGAAUCUUGUCUGAUGUUACAGGGACAGAUGAGACACAUGUGUGUUUAUCCGGUGCAGAGUGACUGAUGGAGGAAUUCUGCUAUCAAAGCCUCUCAAUCUUCUGUGGUGGAGCAGGACCUGUAAGGCAAGGACAGCGACAUUUGUGAAAAAAAGGGAAAACCUCAAACAAAAGGAUGAAGGACCUACAAACCCCUGGAUCAACCUGGAGAAAAGAGCCUUGCUGAAGGACACACCGGUGACAAACCAGCAACCUUCUGCUCACCAGUUCAGUGGUUUAGCCAACUACAAAAGUAGUCAUGCUCAUGGAGAGCAGGCACACGAAUGUUUGGAGCAGACACCGUGGCAGACACAGUUCUCCUGCUCUUGCCUCAAGGUUGUGUGGUUCAGGGGGCCAUCAUCAUGGUCUUCCUCAUCCUCUGGGUCAACGAUGUCCGCAUUGAGAAGAGCAAGGUUGUGAAGCACAGCGCAGCUGCAGAAUUGACACAUCUGUGUUGAGAUGGCAGUAGGAUGUGGGGUUCACCAUCUGUAAAUACAUGAUUGUUAGAACAAUACGUUUGAAUGAAGCAUUGUUUCAUCUGUUGUUGACUUGUAUAUUGUAUGUAUUUAUUGUGAUGCUUCCUUUUAUUCAUUCUUUUACUCGUUUAUUCAUGUUUCUUA